rnacentral:lncRNA from 1 species
GGAAACAUAAAUAUUUUAAUUAUUAAUUUAUUUUUGUCCACUCACUCUAACGUUAUUAAAUGUUUUCCCCUGGGCCCUUCGUUUUAAAUUGCCCAGUCUGCAGAGUUCGGGUUGGAUCUAGUAGGAGACGAGGCAUAGUCACCCGCUUUUCGGCCAGUUUUCAUCAGUAGGUUACCUGUUCAACCUACUCGUGUUUUCUUGCUUCCGCUUGUGUUUAGUAACUCUGAAUACUUUAGAAUUUUUGUAUAUUAUGUGAUAUUCAGAAGUGUUAAAUUAAGAGUGUAAUAUGAAAUUUUCGAGUUAGGGUUGUCCAUCUGCAAGGGAGAUUUUCUUAAUCUUUUCAGUAAAUUUUCCUUGGAGGUGGUCCCCGCACGAUUUACUCUGGGUUUCAGGGUGAAAUUCGGGGUGGGUCGUGUCAUGCGUGAUGUUGUUAACUACAUCACAUCACCCGAAGGCGGAAAUGGCUUGCGUGACUCCGCUAGAAACGUGGAAGGCACAUCACCUCGAAAGGGGGAACAACACGCUAGCAUGAAUAUCAUAAAUAAUCCAACAAGUAUGGCAUAAGAAGGGAAAAUAUAAAUUCAUAUGAGUUUUCCCAAAACUCAUAAAUCGAGCAUAAGUACGAUUCCCAACCGUACUCGGAAAAUUUCAAAGCAAGAAAAUUAAUUAAAUUCAAUGACGUGUCCCACACGUUAAAAUGUUCAAUGAAAUAAAUAACUCAAAUAAUUAACAUGUUUCAAAAAUUAGGCAAUACUCAAAUCCUUAAAGAAAUCUCAAAUCCAGAGAUCAAAAGAAUAUCAUAAUUCAAAUACUAAAACAAUUACCCAACUCAAAAUCCAUAAAUCAUUAACGAUCUCCAAUAAUUUCCAAUCAUUCUAUAAACCCAAAAUUAUAAUAUAAACUUGGAAAAUAAAAUAGUAAAUUAUAAAGUCUUGCACGCAUAUUUAUUUAAAACCAAAAUGUCCACUCACAAAAUUUAGGCCUAAGCCUGACGAAUUCCGAAUCGUCACUCAAGUGAGGUCUCCUCGAAUCUUGAUACAACAACCAUGCUUAGGACCAAACUUCAAUUCCGGAAAAUAAAUACUUAAAUUUAAACACCCAAACGCUUAACCCACUACCCUUACUAGGGUUAAGUUUACCGGAUUCACAUCAAACUCCACCUCAACCUUAAUUCACUAAUUUUAACAUUUUAGAAUAAUUACCACGAAAAUCCAACGGCCGGAUUUUCAUUCUAACAACCGCUAAAAUCUUUAACCAUUGAAAAAUUCCAAACCUUAUCAAAACUCCUCCAAAAAUUCUAAACUAUACUUCAUUAAACUCCUCAUGAAAACAAACCCAAAAACAGGAAAAACUGCCCCUAAGGGGCGGCGCCGCAGCCGUACUCCGGCAACCUCCAAUGUUUUUCAAAUUUUAACACAACAAUCCUCUCAACCCACACAACAACGUCCUUAACUAGCACAAAACCUAUUUCUAAGCCUAACUAGGUUAAUCGAACCAAAACCUUAAAUUGAGCCCUAGAACUUCAAUUAUACAUUUCUCCCUACCAAGAUCGAAUUUAGCCAAAUCCUUUUGAGGGAUUACUAACCUUGAUGACAGCUACAAGAUGAGCCAAAAAUCACGACUUAUGGUGGCCAGAGGAGGGAACUCCGGCGAAAAGACAGUCGGCGUCUCUGGCGGAAACUCUCUUGAUCGGCGGUGUUACACGGUCAGUCACCGGCCCAGGAAGAGAGAGGGGGCGACGGGGGUCCGAUCAAAGGUGGUCCGGCGGUCUAUGGCGGCCGGACGGCGGCGGACGGAGGUUGGGUUCCGGCGGGUCAGGAGAGUUCACGAGAGAGAGAGAGAGAGAGAGAGAGAGAGAGAGAGAGAGAGAGAGAGAGAGAGAGAGAGAGAGAGAGAGAGGAGGAGGGAGGGGAGGGGUANNNNNNNNNNNNNNNNNNNNNNNNNNNNNNNNNNNNNNNNNNNNNNNNNNNNNNNNNNNNNNNNNNNNNNNNNNNNNNNNNNNNNNNNNNNNNNNNNNNNNNNNNNNNNNNNNNNNNNNNNNNNNNNNNNNNNNNNNNNNNNNNNNNNNNNNNNNNNNNNNNNNNNNNNNNNNNNNNNNNNNNNNNNNNNNNNNNNNNNNNNNNNNNNNNNNNNNNNNNNNNNNNNNNNNNNNNNNNNNNNNNNNNNGGGGGGGGGGGUUGUUGGGCUGCUCCACACCCGGUCCAACUUAAAACCCCAACAAAAUAAACCCACUAAAUUUUACCCCAUUUUUACCAACUCAAAAUUUACCUCUUUUUGUUGAUAACUUUUUCAUGUUAACUCCGAUUUGAACGUAUAACAUGUCUAUGAACUCAUAUUAACAUCCUCUACAACUUCUUUAAGGAAAUUUUCCCAAAAUUAUUUUUCUACAGAAAGUCAACUCUAUGGUCCUCCAAUAGUAAACGGUUACUCAAAUCAGUAAAAGGUCAAAGUAACACCAACAGUAAAUACCCGCAAAUUAACUCAAGAACCGGGAUGUGACAAAAACACAUUCCUAGUUCUUGUCCUAUUGACCAGGAUGUUGAUGAUGAGCAGGAUGGCUAUAGUAGGGGUUGCUAGAGCUCACCAGAAUACCCGUUGGUGGAAAAUUAGCACCGGUGGUCUUGGAGAACUUCUCGUAAGACAUGAUGAUCGAGGUUGUGAAAACGAAGAUUAGAAAAGAUGAAGAAGAGAACUCAAGGAAGCCUCUUAAUUUGUAGCUAUAGAAAAUGAGGCAGAUGACGACUUUGAAAAAUACUUGAAGAAAACAAGAAUUAAACAAAUAGACAAUCAGUUUGGAAUGGAUGGCUGUUGCAUCCAAGGAAUAAAAUAUCGGGUAUUGGGAAGAUAUUGAUAGUCUGAAAAAUAGAAAUUUCGAUGGAGAUAUCAGAAAGAUUCGAUUUUAGUACAUUUUUGAUAAAAAUAUUAGUACUUAAUUAUAGAGGUACACUAGUAUUACCCAAUGAUUAAAAUAUCGGUAUCGGUACAUCUAUCAGUACUUUGAAAAAAAAAGAUAUUGGAUAUAUAGGUGAUAUUCGGGAAAAAAUAUCGGGAUUUUAGAUAGAUACAUUAUUUUCUUUGAUUAUUGCUUUUGUAGGUCUUCUUUUUAUCAAGUCAAUAGCAUGAAGAAUAAGAAGAAGAAAACAAUGUUACUUUUUCACGAUAGCUAAUCUACUGUGGAAACAAUUGGUUAUAUCAUCACCAUCUACUGUGGAAACAAUUGGUUAUAUCAUCACCAUCAUCACCAAAUGGAAUGACAACGAUUAACACUAAACAAAAUACCGAUCUUUAUCAUUUGCCACACUUCGCACGGCAUUGACUAGCAAUGGUCCAUUACUGCUAUAUCAGAGCUACUAGUAUUUUGAUUAUGACAUUAGAAAAAAAAAAAAAAAAAGCUUUAUAACUUGAUAUUCUUCUUACGAGAAUAGUUCCCACAACUUGAGGAAGACCCCUAGGGCCAGUAAUGGACUAAUGGUACGUGAUGAUAAGCUACGUAUAUUCUAAGUUCGAUUCUGAUAUGCAUGCAUAGAUGAUGAUACUGAUAGUCAAUCGCUUACCAUCCGCGUCAUGAUCAUAUAUAUUUCCAUGCAUGUCUGUAUGUGUUUCCAUUAAUUUCCAGAAAAUAUUAGAGACGACAAGUCUGGAAUUGAAAGCUAAAGGAAGAGAAGUUAUGGUACCACUUCAUCAACUGAACUUAUCAGUUAUUACCGAGGUCAUUAUACUAAAACAGAAAAUGAAUCGUCACAUUGACAUAAAACAAUUAGUUAGCUGCUUAAUUAAAAUUAUCGAUGAAAAUAAAAGUUGCAUUACGUACAUUGAUGCCUACCAAAUUAAACUUUUGGUUUUCAUGUACUCAUAUUCUCGUAUCAUAUCUUCGUCAGUCAUAUUAAUUUAUGUGUGUGAUACAAAAAAUUAAAUCACUUAAAGGCCAAAUUCAAUCAGAUUACAGUUGAUAUAAAUAUAUAUAUAUAUAUAUAUAUAUUUAUAUAUCAGGCUCUUUCUCUAAGGGAUCAUUUUUCUUUUUUGACAUAUAUGAGGNNNNNNNNNNNNNNNNNNNNNNNNNNNNNNNNNNNNNNNNNNNNNNNNNNNNNNNNNNNNNNNNNNNNNNNNNNNNNNNNNNNNNNNNNNNNNNNNNNNNNNNNNNNNNNNNNNNNNNNNNNNNNNNNNNNNNNNNNNNNNNNNNNNNNNNNNNNNNNNNNNNNNNNNNNNNNNNNNNNNNNNNNNNNNNNNNNNNNNNNNNNNNNNNNNNNNNNNNNNNNNNNNNNNNNNNNNNNNNNNNNNNNNNNNNNNNNNNNNNNNNNNNNNNNNNNNNNNNNNNNNNNNNNNNNNNNNNNNNNNNNNNNNNNNNNNNNNNNNNNNNNNNNNNNNNNNNNNNNNNNNNNNNNNNNNNNNNNNNNNNNNNNNNNNNNNNUUUUUUUCUGGACCUGACGAUUUUGAAUGAUCAUUCAAUCUGGGCCGAGUCGUUUUUGGACCAUUGGAGGGUCAGAAGCGAGCUCACGUGGUUCAACCGCAGGUGUGCAUCUCCUGCUCACGCGUGAUUGGCGCGUCUCGCGCUCCCGCGCGCUCCUCGCCGGCCCGUUUUUCUGUCUUUAGCGCGCGUUCUCCACAGACGAAGCUCGCCGCGCGUAGCUCCUGUCGUUACCCAGUCUUUCACGUGCACCUGCUGCCUUCUGCCGCCAUCUGGGUCCCGCGUCUGCAGUUUUGGGUUUCCUCCUUGCAACUCGACCCAUUUUGGGUCGUCUGUGUAGUAGGAACCCAUAAUUGGGUAUGGGUUUUAAUUGUUGGAGAUGAAUUUUUAUGGGUUUUGAGUAUGGGUUUGGGUAUGGCAACCAUUGUUGGAGAUGCCCUUAUAUAUAGAUCAAUUCUGCAAAUUUUCAACCAAUUUGUUGAUCGGUGUCGAACAAGAUUAAAUCAAUGAACAAACCAAAUCUACCAAACUUGAACCGUUCAUGUUUAUAAUUAUAAAUAGUAGUUUUGAAUGCCUUAAUGAUCACAAAAAUUUCUGAAAAUUUACAGAAAUGAUCUACUCAUAUAUAUAGAACUACAUAUUGAACGGUGUAGAUAUGAUUUUGGCAGCCCAACUCCGGCGACGUUCAAUGCCUCCCAAAUUUUAACAGAAUAAUCCUCUCAUCAAACACAACAACUUUCAUAACUAGCACUUAGUCCAAUUCUAAGGCUAACUAGGGUUAUCGAACCCAAACAUCCAAAAAUCCCUAAUUCAAACCCUAGCCCGAAAAUUCUCCUACACACUUCGAAUUGGCUAAUUACCUUCUAGGGGAUUGUUACACAGGGAAAACACUUCCAAAUGAGACCUGAAUUAUCGGUGAUGACGUCCGGAGAAGUGAGUUCCGACGACAGGACUCCACAAUGCAGUCGGAGCUUCCGGGCGAUCUCUCUCCCUCACGACGGCGCUAGGGCAGCUCCCACCUGUCCAAGAAGAGAGCUGGGUUGACGGCCGACCGUUUGGGACCGGUGCGACGGUCGAUGGUGGCUGGACGGCGGCGGACGACGCUGGGGAACUUCCGGUAGGAGAAGGGCUCGGGGGAGAGAAGAGGGAAGGGAGAGAGAGAGAAAUGAGGUGGGCUUUUCCCUCCUCUUGGCCCGGUCCAGAAAUUAAUACCCCAAAAAUAAAACCCAACAACAAUUUUUACCUUUUACUAAAUAAUGCUUACUCUUUUAUCUGACAACUUUUACAUGUUAUCUCCGAUUUAAGCGUGCCACAUGCCUACAAACUCUGCUUAACGUCCUCCACGACUUUCAUGAAGAAAAUUUUCCCAAAAUAGUUUUCUUACAAAAAGUCAACUGCAGGGUCCUUAAAUAGUAAAUGGUUACUCAACUCAGUAAAAUGUCAAAAUAACCUAAAAGUCAAUAACCGUAAAUUAACUUAAGAACCAGGAUGUGACAAUUCUCCCAUACUUAUAAAAAUUUCGUCCUCGAAAUUUCAAAUCAUGCAAAGGGGUAGAGAUUACUUCUUUUCACCUCAGACUCCAAUAAGUGCUAGGCUAAAUCAUCCCAUCAUCAAUGCUCUUCAAACUUUCUUCUAUCACAAAUUACACCAUUUUCACUUGUAGAAACAGUUAACCGAAUUCUUUUCCACUUACAUUGGCACAUCAAAACUUAUCGACCAAACCCAAGGCGUGAGCAUAUGCUUUAACCAAUCUCUAACUUAGGGUCAACUGGCAUACUCUGCCAACAAUCCACAUGGCACCACUCACACAAUACACUUUGUCACAUCCCGACCCUUAUAUAUAUAUAUAUAUAUAUUUUUUUUACCUUAUUUACUAGCCUGAUUAUAAUAAGAAUUUUACCGUCUCGAUCAUUGAGUAAAUAGUUUAAUUGGUCCCUAGAGGGGUUUCGGGGACGAUUAUGUGCGGAGGAUUAUUCGUAUGAGGAAAAUACGACGAUGGUACAAAAUGGUAAAUUUUAGCUAGUAAAAGGUAAUUUUUAUUCGGGUAUUAUUUUCGGGGUGUUUAAUUUUAGAAUUUGGAUAGUUUUUAAGUGAUUGACCGGUUUGGGGUGUGAGGCCCAAACCCAUUCUUUUUCCUCCCGAUUUUCUCUCCUCACCCGCUCCCGCACCCGAGCCCUCCCGCUGUCCCGUUUUCCGACCGCCAGACCGCCGCCGCACCGGUCCCAAUCGAUCGGUCUUCAACCCAGCAACCUUCUUGGACCGGUGACAGCUCCCCUAGCGUCGCCGUGAGGGAGAUAUCGGGCCCGAGAGGUCCGACUGUGUUAGGGAUCACGUCGCCGGAACUUCCUCCUCCGGCCAUCAAUCCGGGCAAGCUUGGCACGGUUUUGUAGCCCUCCUCCCGUGCAGCAACCCCUCCAAGCAGCUCCCUCCCUCUUGAGCUAGGUAAGGAGAAAUGUGGAGUUGAAAUUUCUAGGGCUUUUAAGUUGUUUUCGUUCGAUUAGCCUAGUUAGGCUUGGAAUUGGGUGAUGUGUUGGUCAUGAAAGUUGUAGAGGAGAUUGAGAGGAAGUUUCUGUUAAAAUUUGGUAGCAUUUGCAGGUCGCCGGAGUUGGUCGCCGGCCGCCGCUGUUUUGGGAAAUUUUGUGGUUUUUGAUGUAGAAUAUUAAGGUGAUAUUAUUGAGGUGAAUUUUGGAAUUUUUGGAUGAGAUUUGGAUAGGUUUGUGAAUUUCCGAAGUGUGGUAUUUUUGGCGGGUAAUUAAUGUAGCAUCCGGCCGUAGGAUUUAAGUCGUAUUUUGGAGAGGUUGUAUUUACGACUGUUGAGUACGAUAUUUAAGUUCGGAUCGUUCCGAUUUAAGAAUAUCGAAGUUAGGCAAUGAUGAGCGUAAUUAUGGCUCUCGGGUAAUUUUGCCUAUUUUGAUUAAAUAUUGGAUUAUUGGUUGGGAAAUUAAUAUUAUAUUUGGAACAGGACGUGAGGAGGCUCGAGCAGACGAGACCCCAGAUCGACAUCAGGCUUAGGCCUAAUUUGUGAGUGGACUUUUAUUUGAAAUAAUAUGCAUGCUAUGGUUCAUGAUUGAACAUUUCCUUUUGUUGGAGUUUUGACGUCAAUUAAUUUUGACGCUUUUAUUUCUCUGAGAGAGUUACCGAAAAUGGGAUUUUCGGUGAAUAUAAAUAUGUAUAUAUGAGAGAGUAUGUAUAGAAAAUGCUAGCUAGCCAUAUGUGUCUGUCCACCUUNNNNNNNNNNNNNNNNNNNNUUGUGUUUAGUAGCUCUGAAUACUUUAGGAUUAUUGUAUAUUAUGUGAGGUUCGGAAGUGUUGAAUUAAGAGUGUAAUAUGAAAUUUUCGAGUUAGGGUUGUCCAUCUGCAAGGGAGAUUUUCUUAAUCUUUUCAGUAAAUUUUCCUUGGAGGUGGUCCCCGCACGACUUACUCUGGGUUUCAGGGUGAAAUUCGGGGUGGGUCGUGUCACACUUUGCCCUUGACUUAUCUUCCACUAAUUGAAUAGCUUGCCCAAUUUUAAUUACUUAUGAUACAAAACCUCAAAUCACACGGAUGACUUUGACCUAAGUCAAGUCAAUAUGGUCAGUAAAUUUCGUAAUUCACAACACCAUCUUACUUCCGUCACCAAUUAAUCAAAACAAAACUCGAUCGCUCGCAUCAAAUUUGAACCUUCCCCACCUAUAUGAUUGGCCUCAAUCGAUAAGUUGAUUGGCGAAUAUCUCUCUUGUCGCCUAAUUAUGCUAAUGCGAUCUAUAUUACCAAAUCCCUACACUUAAUAUCUCUUGUAUCUCAACUCGUAUCCAUACAACAAUGAUCUCCCAGGUCUUAUACGGAUCAAAAGUGGUCUCACCACAAUACGAUCAUGUAUGAAUAUGCAUCACAAAAAAAACAUUUAACAUGACCUGACACAAUUUUUCCAUUAAUGCCAAUGAACUGACAAGCCUUAACUGAAAAUAUUUUCCGAAUUAUCAAGAAUCUUUUUCCUUAAAGCUAUACCACCAGCCAAACAUAUUAGUAUUUCCAACAAUUCACCCCGCGAAUUAAUCAUUACUAACCAAUAAUAACCGUCGGAAUCUCAUCCCUCAAUAAUAAAUUCAACAGUUGCUACCAACGACGACUUACAAGCACAAGAAAAAUAUCACUCUCAAAAUCGAUCAACAUAUCUGAAAUUGGCACCUCCACAAAUGAGGAAAGUACGUUAAGAAGAAUCAUCUUUGGGUUAUACUUCUUCCACAUAAUUAUGCGUUGCUAAAGAUGCCAAAGAUCACGAAGACCUACUCGUAUUUCCUGAGUAGAGAUUUUUCCCAUGAAUUUCUCGUUAUCCUUAACGAAUGUUGAAGUCCCAUUAAUAAAUCGUACCAACUAAUAGAUGCCAAAGCACGGAAAUUCCCGCAUCAACUCUAAAGUCGAACCGUCUAAGUUACCAAUCGAAUAACCGUACUACAACCAAAAUACAAACUUUGAGUUGACCAAAUUGAGUGUCAGCACAGCUGAUGUUGGCAGUCUAUCAAACAACGCUAGAUAGUCCUUUCUUGCUACCCCCAUAUGAUGUAAAAUGAUUUUCUUUCUUCCAUUUGAUUUCUAGAUCCAACUAGCUGGAUCACGCAGGUCCAUAAUGUCCAAGGAAGAUGAAAGCACAAAACUGGAGUCCAAAGCUCAAGUCGCCAAAACUGUUAGAUGCCAAAGAUAAAUACUCCUCGUAGAAUGCCGAAUUGUACGAAUGCGUACAAAAAUCUAGAACGCCUUCCUCGUAUGAUGAUCAGCAAUCCUGAGUCGAAUCGCACUCUGCAAGGCCCGACUCUUCAACUCAUGUCGAAAAUUUACUUAUAUCAAGAACAAGUUGGUCUUAGAACACCCAGGACAUCGACGAUACUCAUCGAUUGCCACGCUGCUCCAGUAGUUACCUCAAAGAAUUUGGGGUCUAAAAACGAGCUCUAAAAACAAAUCACACACUCCACACAUAAGUGAUAUACCCGAUUCUCUUAAAAAAAAACCUGAGCUAACACUCAAGUAACGCAAAAUUGACGGCCGCAUGCUCCAUCUAAAAAAUUGUGCGUCAACCACAUUAUCUCCUGCAUAAUGCUCAAGUGGAAGCAUGGGAUUGCUCGAAUCUAAUAGAGCCUCGACAAUAACUUCCAAUCCUAACCAGUCAAUUUCACCACUACAAUACUCUAGACAACAACUACACUUGUGGGAAAGACUACCUCCAGAUCCACAUCUCACUCAUCCUCUUAGGAAUUAUUCGUAUCAGCUAAUAACAAUAGCUAAAGCGAAAAACAAUUAUUUCAAAAUCAAUAACCUCAAUUACACCGCUUAAACUAUCUGUGCAUAUCAUCAUACACAUUACCAAUCCAAAUUUAUUCCAACACUCUUCUCCUAACCAUCACUCGACUCGAUGCCACGAUUUUCUAACCAACCACCACUUCGAAUUUACAACUUCAGCCUUUCUUGCACCAAUGACUAAAGAUAUCGAAGAUUGAGAUUACCUUUAGACGAUAGGGGUUCGUCAGUAAUCUUCUACCAAAGUCAAAAGACCUAAAAGUUGAAAAGAGUCGCUUCCAAACUCUUUUUACCUAUUGACAUAACUGACACCUAUACACAAAAGUUGCAUUUUCCUCCUCUCCACUUGUUGCCGUAAAAUCAAAGCAACCACAACUAUCUCGCAUCCGCUUCACCAUUAUAUACCAACGCCAUUUACACUUACGAUCUUUCUAAAAUUGACAACACAAAUAGAAGAGUGAAUCCCAAAUCACAAUUACCAAACCUAAAUCGACCAAUAACAAUUCCAAAAACCAAACUUCAAUAGCCCCAAUCAACACAUGCAAUAACAUCCACAAUUAAUUAGCUCAAGCAACACCACUCUACUAUUUAUCUCAAAGCAAGACAACAUUUAUUUAACCCCCUUAUAAUCACUUAUUCCAACACCAACUUUAUUUAGAAAUUUCUCAAUCCUUCAUUCACUGCAUGCCCUCUCUAUUAAUAAUACCCAUAAAAAGGCUCAACUUCGCCUCUUAAUCGUAGUCCAUCAACUCGAUCAUUACGUAAAAGAAAAUGAUCACAAAUACAUGCCACUUCCCAACUCAUAAUUGACCUCAAAAUCUCGCAACCACAAAAUAACAUAAAGGAAAGAUGCACAUCACUUACCUUUCCAUUACUCGGAAAAUAACCAAGAUACUCUUGAAGAUCGGCGUACGGAGGCAUAGUCUUGAAGAUGUAGACAUUUAUGGCACAAUAUUGUCCAUAAAUAAGACAAAAACAACUACCUCACAUACCUAAUAAAUAUAUAGCAUCUGAUGCAUAUAAUGCUAAUGAAUAUGCCGCGGUCGGACCAUCACUCUAUAGAUACUAAGUAUCACUAAGUAUAUGAGGUAGUGAUAGGAAUCGGAUAACCUAAUGCUCUGAUACCAACUGACAAGACCUACCCCCGAAUUUCACCCUGAAACCCGAAGUAAAUCCUGCGGGGUCCACCUCCAAGGAAAAUUUACAAAAAAUUCGGCAUAAUCUACCUUGAAAAUGGACAACCCUUACCUGAAAAAUCCAACUUACACUUCUAUAAUCAAACAAACCAGCCUCAACACCUGAAACAUUCCUGCUACCUAAAUUCAUCACAUCUCCCACAAUAUCAAAAACUAAUCCCAAAAUAAUACCACAACCAACAACACGUUCAAUCAACAAUUUAUUGACUGGAUUAUCAGAGCAUAACUAAACAUGAACGAAAAACAAGGAAUAAAGAAUAAACGAAAGCAACCUCUGACUAUGCCUCGACUCCAUGUACGCUCGACCUCACUUAGACUUAGCCUGCAAACUGGGCAUUUAAAACCAAAGGGCCCAAGGAAAAAUAAUUUAAAAAAAACGUUAGAAUGAGUGGAUGAAAAAUAAUCGAGUAACUAAUCACAACAUAACUAACCAAACUUAAUUACUUUCCCAUUUUCCAAUAAUCAAUAAAUCCGGUUGCAUGCAAGUGUUGAUAAAACUUUCACAAAGAAAAAUCCCAAGAAAACGGACUAGCCCCGCUAGUCAAAUUAAUCGACAAAAUAAAUAAUAACCUUUGUAAAAGUAAGUACCAAAAUAACGGACUAGCCCCGCUAGUCAAAGACAACAUUAAAGGUACAUAAAGACCUUUGUAAAUUGAAAUAUCGAAAAGAUGGACUAGCCCCGCUAGUCAAGACAAUAAAUAUUAAAUAAGAAACAGCUAUAGCCAUACAAGUGAGCCUCUCAGGCUCGGGUGCCUCCCAGGAAAAAAUACUCUCAUACUCCCUACACAUUCACGUUAUGAUAACAGAGAGGGUGCAAGGCUUGCGUGAUAUAGUCGACUACAUCACAUCACCCGAAGGCGGAAAUGGCUUGAGUAACCCCACUUAAAACGUGGAAGCCACAUCGCCUCGAAAGACGGAACAUCAUGCUAGCAUUAGUAAUAUAUUAUCCGACAAGUAUGACAUAAAUAAAGAACAUAAAUCCAUAUGAGUUUUCCCGAAACUCAUAACUAAAGCAUAAGUACGAUUCCCAACCGUACUCAAAGAAUUCAAAGAGCAAAGAAAAAUAAUUAAAUUCGAUGACAUGUCCCACACGUUAAAAUGCUCAAUGAAAUAAUUAACUUAAAUAAUUUUCAUCUUUCGAAAACUAGGCAAUAUACAAAUCUGGAUAUAAUCUCAAAUCCGGAAAUCAUAAAAAUAUCAAAACUCAAAUACCAAAUCUCUAACCCAUACUCAAAUCCAUAAGUUCAUUAUCGAAAACAUAAUCAAUAUGUCAAUCUCCAAUAAAUUCCAUAAAUCAUGGCAAAGAUUAAUCCAUGCAUCAAAAUCAAAUAACUUUAAAGACGAUUUCAUAAGCCGAAAUUACAAUUUAAGCUUGGAAAAUAUAAUGGGCAACUUAUAAAAUCAUGCAUGCAUAUUAAUUAAAAACCAAAAUGUCCACUCACAGAUUUAGGCCUAAGCCUGACAAAUUCCGAAUCGCCACUCAAGUGAGGCCUCCUCAAAUCCUGACACAACAACCAUGCUUAGGACCAAACUUCAAUUCCGGAAAAUAAUACUUAAAUUUAAACACCCAAAACUCUUCCGCUUAACCCACUACCCUUACUAGGGUUAAGUUUACCGGAUUCACAUCAAACUCCACCACAACCUUAAUUCAUCAAUUCUAACAUUCUAGAAUAAAUACCAAGGAAAUUUAACAGCCGGAUUUUCAUUCUAACAACCGGCAAAAUCCUUAAUCUUUGAAAAAUCUCAAACCUUAUCAAAACUCCUCCAAAAAUUCCAAACUUUACUUCAUUAAACUCCUCUCAUAAAAACAAACUCAAAAACAUGAAAAGCUCUCAUGUUAACAGAAUAAUCCUCUCAUCAAACACAACAACUUUCAUAACUAGCACUUAGUCCAAUUCUAAGGCUAACAAGGGUUAUCGAACCCAAACAUCCAAAAAUCCCCAAUUCAAACCCUAGCUAGCCUGAAAAUCCUCCUACACACUUCGAAUUGGCUAAUUACCUUCUAGGGGAUUGUUACACAGGGAGAGCACUUCCAAAUGAGACCUGAAUCAUCGGUGAUGGCGGCUGGAGAAGCGAGUUCCGACGACGGGACUCCAUAACGCAGUCGGAGCUUCAGGGCGAUCUCUCUCCCUCACGACGGCGCUAUGCCAGCUCCCCACCUGUCCAAGAAGAGAGCUGGGUCGACGGGCGACUGUUUGGGACCGGUGCGGCGGUCGAUGGUGGCUGGACGGUGGCGGACGACGCUGGGGAACUUCCGACAGGAGAAGGGCUCGGGGGAGAAAAGAGGGAAGGGAGAGAGAGAGAGAGAAAUGAGGUGGGCUUUUCCCUCCUCUUGGCCCGGUCCAGAAAUUAAUACCCCAAAAAUAAAACCCAACAACAAUUUUACCUCUGACUAAAUAAUGCUUACUCUUUUAUCUGACAACUUUUACAUGUUAUCUCCGAUUUAAGUGUGCCACUUGCCUACGUACUCUGCUUAACGUCCUCCACGACCUUUCAUGAAGAAAGUUUUCCCAAAAUAGUUUUCCUACAAAAAGUCAACUGCAGGGUCCUUAAAUAGUAAACGGUUACUCAACUCAGUAAAAUGUCAAAGUAACAUAAAAGUCAAUAACCGUAAAUUAACUUAAGAACCGGGAUGUGACAGUAAAAGUUUAAUAUAUAUCUAUUCAAAAAACAAAAGUUUAAUAUAUUUGUUUAUCAGUUUGUGCAAAUAAAAUGCAAUGACAUAGAUCGAUAAAAAAUAAAAUGCAAGAACAAUUUGGCCCGAAAAAUUAAAAGACCAAUACAACUUCAUUUUGGUACAUGAUUCAAUUUAAUUACUCAAUCUUUCUUUUAAAUAAACGUAAUAACCAAGUAAUGCGAUGCAUACCAUGACCGAUCACUAUCGAUAAAGAAAAAGCUUUCUAAAUCACUACCUAUUUAAAAUGGAGGAGAAUUUAUAGGAAAAAUAAGAGCAAGCGAGUAAUCUUAAUGUACAUUGACAAUUGUGCUUAAUAAAAUAUAUCGGUAAGAAUUAGAUCGAUUUUCAUUUAACUAUAUAUUAGCCGGCCCCCUUAAAAAAAAUCAUGGCUCCGCCUCUGCUCCUCUCAUACAUGGUAUCCUCUUGUGCUCUAUACCUAGUACUUCUAAAGUCAUGAUUGUAAUUUUCUUCAUAAGAAAGAUUGUUUAAUCCUCCCACUAUAAAAGAUUGUCUAUAUUCAUUCAGAUAUACUCGAGGGAAUUACUCAUCUCUCGAAUAUUUGUUGGAAUGUGAUUUUUCUUUAUGUGAAUUUUUUUUACAGAUAUUUCUUUAAUAUAUCAAAGAUAUAUCAUAAAUAUCCUAAAUAUCAAAGAUAUUUCUUAUAUAUCGGAGAAAUAUAGGAAAUAUUUGACAGUAUCGGAGAAAUAUCGGAGAUACGGUGAAAGAAAAGAUAUUUAUCUCUCUAAAUAUAUUAGUCCUUAAAAUAAAAGAUAUCGGGGGAUAUAUCGGAUAUAUCGCAGAUAUUUUAAUCCUUGGUAUUACCAAAUCCUCACCCAACAAGUAUGGUUGGGGCGUAUUGGUUUCAUUACCACAACCAAGGUUCGAUUCACAUUGGAGGCAUAGUUUGCCUUUUUCUAUGAUUUUCGAACCAAUUUGUGCCAAAGUUGGUACUUGGGCUGCGUGAUAAUUGUCAUUGAAACAAAUUUGGGUCAAUGUUUGUACUUGGGCUACGUGAUAGUUGUCAUUGAAACCAAUUUGGGUCAAUGUUGGUACUUGGGCUGUGAAAUUUCCUUAGAUUUUGCAAAUUUCACGAAAUAUCGCAAUAUAUCCAAAAUAUCGCACGAAACUUGGAAGGUAUGUGAAGAUAUUAUCACCAAGUGAGAAAAAUAAAAAUUUCACCGAAAUAUCGGCGAAAUUCUCUAUUUUUCACUCCUUGGCUGCAUCAGUCAUGUGACUCAUGCGUUGACACGACCACAAACGCAUGCGUGGCUCUAUAUCUCUGCGUGUGUGCUACUCCAAUACAGAGGUUAAUUGGACGUGUGAUUGAGCAUUAGAACUGUGACAGUAGUCAUAUUAGUAUGAACUUUUCUAUUACACAUCGGACGGUUCACGACUUGAUGUGUGUUAUACAGUAUACACAUGUAUAUACAACAGCCAAACCUAUGAUAUAUUAACCAUUUCAACAUUAGAGUAUGUAUGUAGAAACUAUUUUUCUUUUUUGGUGUGAUAUUUAGAAAUAAAUUUAAAUUUAAAGUAGCAAGGAAGACUUGAACAAGCUAGGUUGAAAGGUUUGGUGGAACCAGUGGCUUAAGCCUUGAUACCAAUUAAGAGUUUAUUAAAUUAAACAUAUCAAACUGAUUUCAAUUCGAUGAUAAUAUAUAUGGUACAAAAGUAUAAUCUUGUUUACAAUGGAUAACGUAAACUUAAUUGUAUCACAUUCACUUAUUUCCUACUCAUUGGAGCCAUUGUCAUUUCAUAGUUCCUCCCAUGCAUCUAUAUUUCCACGCCCAUAUAAUACAUCAAAUAAAUUCACAACUUCAACUCCAAAAGAAAAAAACCAAGUACAAAUCGAUAGUCCCAGCAAAAUUCUUCUUAUUCUCAUUUAUUUCGACACAUGCCUCCCUCCACCAUGGGGGGGCACCGACCCCAUUGUCACUUCUUGGUUCCUUGCAUCCAUAUUUCCAUGCCAUCCUGAAACAAUUCAUUGAAGAUUUAGAACAUUUAGACCAUUAACGCUAAUUAAUCUAAGAGUCAAUGAUAGAUGGAAAAACAUUAAUUGUAACUUAGAAUUCAAAUUCAUAUUAGGAUCUACUUUUCUUAAUUUCUUUACAACUUUUUAAUUUUCUUGCAUGUACACCUCUCUAAUUAUUAUAUAAACUCUAUAUUUUCAAAGUCGUCCAUUUAUUUGACAAUUAGAUAGAUAUAUGGUUGACCACCAUGCAUAUGUUUUGAUCGAUUUUUUUUUUACUAUCUCCUUUAUAUUAGCAGUGAACUAACAUUAUCAACAAGAAUGAAAAUGACCAAGUUAAGAAUUUGGAAAGAGAUUUACAAAACGACGUACCAAUGGACAUGUUGAAACCGCGACUUUGGAGCUCACGAUACUCCUGGCACAAGGCGCAGGCACCGCAGAAGGCCCCGUGAACCAUAUAAUCACCACAAUAGCUCCCUUCCAAAGAAUACUGCUGCCUCAGUUUGGAUCGGUAGAGAUACGGUGCUCCAGUUGCCAAUAAAGCUACAUUUAUAGAACACAAUUAGAUCUCAAUGAUAUCUGUCUAGCAAGUAGCAGGUAAGGGAAAACAAAAAGAUACAGAAGGAUCAGAGAAGAUAUAUGGUGCUUACAUGUAGAUCCUUUAUCCACAAUCUCAAUUAUCCGGCCGAAGGUGACGCAAGGACACCAAAAUGUUAGCCAGCCUGUGCGCAUAGAUACAUACACAAAAAAUUAGUUUCGAGCAAAUUAAUUACAAAGAUGGAUCGGAGUAGGUUGUGAGGUAAUAUUACAGCUUUUGGGAUCGGAGAAGCAGUCAAGGAGGCCGGAAUUCCAAGGCUCGGAAAUGAUGAUGAGGAGGAGGUUUACAAGAUAAGUGAAAGGUGGUACGUUUGAAGCAGCCUGUAUCUUCUACUCUUUGUAAAUAAAUGAGAUAGACGAAGAAGAAUUUAUAGUCGUGUCACUCGUAUGAAGCACGGCCAAGUUGGCCAACCUUAUCUUAUUCAAAUGGCUAAUGAUCGAAGUUCAGAUACGGGUAGACCGAUCAGUGUUGGAGUGUUUAAGGGGGGACGGGGUUCAGUUGACGUCGUUCAGUUUUAUGAAUAGGUUAUUCUGUCAUAUAAUUUGUCUAGUUUUUUUUUUUUUUUUGAUAAGAAGAAAAUCUAUUAAAUAGAGGUGUCUCGCCGGCACCCAGAGUUUACAUUGUCGAAAACAAGGGCAAGAGAUGCUUCUGGAGGAACACACUCCUUCCAAAAGUGACAAUUCUCAAUCAUAUACCUUAUGUUAGCCAAAGCAUUGGCCACACAUAUAAUUUAUCAGUUGAAAUGUGAUGUUAGCUCUAUUAAAGAGUUUGACAUAUAAAAUAUUAAUUAUAACAAUCAAUUUGGAUAGAGAGUGUUCAACUUCUAAGGUGUGUUUGUUUGCAAAGAAAACUCUUAAUCAAUAUAGGUUUAAUUACGUGGUUCUCUUUAUUUUUUGAAUAUAGAUUUCUAAUCCUAACCAAUGAUUGAUUGUUUUUUCCUUUAAUAUUACAAUUAAAACAUAUUCCUAGUUUUUUUUUUUUGUCUUUUUAAUUAAAAUGCUUUCCUAAUCAAUCAAUGAUUGUGAUUGAUUUCUCGUGCACCUCUAUAUAAACAGUUUUAGCCGCUUCUUUACGUAUUCUUUUUUGUUAUCCUUCAGUAAAUUUUUUCUUGUCGUCGACAACCUUCAUAAUUAAAAACUUGCAAUUAUGGAUGCUUUAGCUUUAUUUGACAAGUAUCGUAAGAGAAAAACAGCAGAACAGUCGACACAAUUAAAACAUAUUCCUAGUUCUUGUCAUAUUGACCAGGAUGUUGAUGAUAAGCAGGAUGGCUAUGGUAGGGGUUGCUGGAGCUCAUCGGAAUACCCGUUGUUGGAGAAUCAGCACUGGUGGUCUUGGAGAACUUCUCGUAAGACAUGAUGAUCGAGGUUGUGAAAACGAAGAUUAGAAUAGAUGAAGAAGAGAACUCAAGGAAGCCUCUUAAUUUGUAGCUACAGAAAAUGAGGCAGAUGACGACUUUGAAAAAGACUCGAAGAAAACAAGAAUUGAACACAUAGACAAUCAGUCUGGAAUGGGAUGGUUGCUGCAUCCAAGGAAUAAAAUAUCAGGUAUUGAGGAGAUAUCGAUAGUCCGAAAAAUAGAAAUUUCGAUGGAGAUAUCAGAAAGUUUCGAUUUUAGUACAUUUUCGAUAAAAAUAUUAGUACUUAAUUGUAAAGAUACACUAGUAUUACCCAAAGAUUAAAAUAUCGGCAUCGUUGCAUCUAUCGGUACUUUGAAAAAUGGAGAUAUCGGAUAUAUCGGGGAUAUUCGAGAAAAAAUAUCGAGAUUUUAGAUAGAUACAUGAUUUUCUUUGAUUAUUGCUUUUGUAGGUCUUCUUUUUCCCAAGUCAAUUGCAUGAAAAAUAAGAAGAAAACAAUGUUACUUUGUCACGACAGCUAAUCUACUGUGGAAACAAUUGGUUAUAUCAUCACCAUCUAUUGUGGAAACAAUUGGUUAUAUCAUCACCAUAUCACCAAAUGGAAUGCCAACAAUUAACAUGAAACAAAAUAUCGAUCUUUAUGAUCAUUUGCCACACUUCGCACGGCAUUGACUAGCAAUGGUCCAUUACUGCUAUAUCAGAGCUACUAGUCUUUUGAUUAUGACAUUAGAAAAUAAAAACUUUAUACCUUGAUAUUCUUCUUAUGAGAAUAGUUCCCACAACUUCAGGAAGACCCCUGGGGACAGAAAUGGAGUAAUGGUAUAUUCCAUACUUGAGGCCAGUAAUGGACUAAUGGUACGUGAUGGUAAGCUACAUAUAUUCUAAGUUCGAUUCCGACAUGCAUGCAUAGAUGGUGAUACUGAUAGUCAAUCACUUACCAUCCGCGUCAUUAUCAUAUAUAUUUUCAUGCAUGUUUGUAUGUGUUUCUAUUAAUUUUCAAGAAAUAUUUGAGACGACAAGUCUGGAAUUGAAAGCUAAAGGAAAACAAGUUACGGUACCACUUCAUCAACUGAACUUAACAGUUAUAGUAGAAAAUAAGGAUUCAAUAUGAUUUGGAAUGCUUCAAUGUAUAUUCUUCUCCAUAUUGGAGGUUUAUAUAGAGAUACAACUGUAGUGCUAAUAGGAAAAAUAUCUCCUACAUCUAUACAAAAAUAUUUAACCUACACAUACAAGGAAAGUAAAUAUUUAUAAAUAUUUACAAAUAUUCUACACCCCCCUCAAGUUGGUGCAUAGAUAUCAAUCAUGUCCAACUUGUCAACUGAGUCGUCAAACACUUUCCUUGAUACUCCUUUCGUAAGAACAUCUGUCAAUUGGUCUUCUGUAUACACAAAAGGGAAACAUAUUAUUUUUCUGUCCAAGUUUUCCUUGAUAAAAUGCCGAUCUACCUCCACAUGCUUGGUCCGGUCAUGUUGAACAGGAUUAUGAGCAAUUUCAAUUGCAGAUGUGUUAUCACAAUGCAAGUCCAUAGGUUGUUUGAGUUUAAAACCCAAUUCUUUCAACACAUUACAAAUCCAUAACAUCUCACAAACUCCAUGUGCCAUACCUCGAAAUUCUACUUCAGCACUUGACCUGGCAACAACCUUCUGCUUCUUACUACGCCAAGUUACAAGGUUUCCUCCAACAAAUGUAAAAUACCCAAAUGUAGAACGUUUGUCUAUCUUAUCACCAACCCAAUCAGCAUCGGUGUACCCUACAACUUCCAAUUCACCCUUCUUUUCGAACAACAAGCCUUUUCCAUGUGCCAUCUUAAGAUACUUCAGAACACAGUACACUGCAUCUAUAUGAUCUUCAUUGGGAUAAUGCAUAAAUUGACUAACCACACUCACAGCAUAAGCAAUAUCAUGUCUAGUAUGAGAAAGAUAAAUAAGUCUCCUUACUAGACAUUGAUACCUUCCUUUAUCAGUCGGGACUUGAUCUGGAUAGAUGGCGAGGUUGUGGUUCAUCUCAAUUGGUGUCUCAACCGGUUUGCAGUCAAGCAUUCCAGUCUCAGCUAACAAAUCAAGUACAUACUUACGUUGGGACAAAGAAAUCCCCUGCUUUGACCUUGCAACUUCAAUUCCAAGAAAAUACUUCAAAUGUCUAAGGUCCUUCAUCUCAAACCCCUUUGAAAAGUACUUUUGUAGAGCCUCCAUCUCCUUUGGGUCAUCCCCUGUGACAAUCAUAUCAUCAACGUACACAAUCAGAGCAGUGAUCUUACCCUGACUACGUUGGAUGAACAAAGUGUGAUCUGAGUUGCUUUGUUUAUAACCAAACAUCUUCAUUGAUUUGGAGAAUCUUCCAAACCAAGCUCUAAGAGAUUGGUUCAAACCAUACAAGGACUUAUUUAACUUACAAACCUUGUCAGCAUCGCAUGGUCUACUUUUGACUCCUGGUGGCAUGUCCAUAUACACUUCUUCCUCCAAGUUUCCAUUGAGGAAAGCAUUCUUCACAUCAAACUGUCGCAUAGGCCAAUCUUUAGUUGCUGCAAGUAAAAUCAAGAUUCGUACAGUGUUGAUCUUUGCUAUAGGCGCAAACGUUUCUUCAUAAUCAAUGCCAUACUGUUAGGUAUAUCCCUUGGCAACCAACCGUGUUUUAUACCUGUCAAUGGUCCCAUCUGCUUUCAACUUUACGGUGAAUACUCAACGGCAACCAACGGUCUUCUUCCCAGCUGGUUUAGACACAAUAUCCUAAGUCGAGUUUUUCUGUAAUGCCUCUAGUUCUUCGUUCAUCACUUGAGUUCACUUGGGAUCUUCCAUUGCAUCAUGUAUAUUACUACGAAUAGAAACACUGGAUAAUUGAUUAAUGGCAAUGACGUGUGACUCAGCCAAUCUAUGGUUAGACAUGUAAUUGGCUACAUGAUACUUAGUUUUGACUUUAAUGGCAGGUUCAUAUUGUUUUUUUGAAACACCUUUAGUAAUCUCUGUGACUUUCUAGAUACAAUAUUAUCUACCUCAGAUAAUUUAUUUGAAUUUAAAGAUACAUGAGCAGGACAUUCGCGGCAGAUUCUUUGUCGGCAUCCACGCUAAAGAGACGUCCACGCCGUCCACGCCGUCUGCCUCCCUGACAUCUGCGUCAUGUGCAGCCGGUGGGGUCUCCAUGUCUACCUCCCUGACAUCUGUGUCAUGGUGCAUCAAUUCCAUUAUUUUUUGUAGCUUUGUUAAUUCCGAAUCUGGACUCCAAAGCUUCCAACUCUUCAAAUUCCUCAAACUCAAAUAAAUGUCUAGAAUUCUCUUCACAACCUCUCUCCCCCUGAAAGGAAGACGUCGGAACUUCCCCUGAGUAAUAAGGUUUAUAUUCUCGAAAAGAAACAUCAACAGACACAUAAAUUGUAUCGGUGAGAGGAUCAUAACACCGAUAGCCUUUCUGAAACUCGGCAUACCCAAUAAAGAUACACCGUUUGGUACGAGGAUCAAGUUUUCUUCGUUGUUGCUUGGGAAUAUGAACAUAUACUACGCAUCUGAAAACACCGGGCUCCAAGUUUGGCAAGGAUGGUACGAAAAGAAGAUGUUGAAGCUGUUGUAGAGGACUUUGAAAUUCAAUCACCCGAGACGGAGUACGAUUAAUGAGAUAAGCAGCAGACUUCAAAGCUUCUCCCCAAUAUUCAAGAGGUACAUUCAUGCCAAAUAAGGAUGCGCGGACAACUUCAAGCAACUGUCGAUUCUUUCGCUCUGCCAAUCCAUUCUGUUGAGGAGUGUAUGUAUUUGAAGUCUGAUGCCUAAUUCCAUGAGUUUGCAUAAAUUUUUGCAUAGGACCAUUAAUAUAUUCUCCGCCAUUGUCAGAUUGGAAGACUCGAAUAGCCUGUUGAUACUGUAUAGACACCAUCUUGUGAAAUUCUUGGAAUAUGGAACAAACCUCAUUCUUAUUCUUCAUAAGAGAUACCCAUAUCAUCCGAGUAUAGUCAUCAAUAAAAGUCACAUAAUAUCGAGCUCCAGAAUGAGUAGAGAUCUUGCCAGGUCCCUAAACAUCAGAAUGAAUUUUCAUGAAUGGAAUGGGACUUUUAUUAAGACUAGGUGAAUAUGAAAUCCGAUGGCUUUUAGCCAAUUCACAUACAUCACAAUGAAACUUUGAAUCACUAACAACCAAAAACAAAUGAGGUUGUAGUUUUUUAAGAUAACUAAAAGAUAGAUGUCCCAAUCGCUUGUGCCAUAACCAGGGGCGGAACCACGUGAAAGGCUGGUACGGCUAUAGCCUAGACGAAAAUUCUAGAGGUACAUAUAAUUGUAUAUAAUUGUAAAUUGUAUGUACUAGUAUGUAAAUAAAUGUGAUUUUAGUUACUUUUUUUAUUUUUUUCUUAAAGUCACAUUUCUUUACAUACUAUAUGUGACUUUAGUUCAGUUGAGUCUCUUAGGAAGCAUUUCUUUCCUUUUUUAUUUGCUGUUUCCCAAUUUUCUUCUCCUUAAUUAUUAGAAAUUUGGUUUUUCCUUUUUUUUUUUUUCUUUUUCACCCAGUUGUUCUUCCUUUUCUCCUUUUCUUUUAAUUUCUUUUUUUACAAUGUCAUUCACUGGUAUUUCUUAAAAAUUUCUUAACUCCCCAUCCCUUUAAAAUUUAGUUCUAAAUAAUAUAUAGGGAGCCUUAUUAACAAAAUAAAACAUUAUAAACAAGCCUUAUAUUAGCCUAACCCAAUAUUACAUCCUGGUUCCGUCAUUGGCCAUAACCAUAUUGUUGCCUUUGCAUUCUCUACUCCAUUGACCUGAUUCACUUGUCCCAAUAACUAUUGCUCUCCUUGCUCUGUCAGAUCCAAGUAGUAAAGUUUUCCCUUUCUAGUACCACAACCUAGAACCCGCCAAGUUAGAAUGUCCUGAGACACACAAAAUGAGGGAUAAAAAGUCACAAUACAUGAUAAUGCUUGAAUGAUUUGGCCAACUGAGAGGAGAUUGUAUGCUAAUGAUUGGACAACUAAAAACAUAAUCAAGGGUUAAUGUGUUGGAGAGGACAAUAGAGCCUUCUUCGGUGACUGAAGUUGGAGUACCAUCAGCAGUCGAAACAAUAUUUUGAGUGGAGGGUUUAAAUUUUUCCAAGAGGCUAGGAUCAUUAACCAUAUGGUCAAACGGCCCUGAAUCAAUAAUCCAAGAAAUAUUCUUAGAUACCUUACCGAUUAUACAUGUUUCUGCGACAUUGGCGGAUGCAUUGGAUGGUUGCUCCUCUUCUGUAGUAGCUAAGACAUCAUUUGCUUGAUUCUUUCGGGGUUGUCUUGUGAAAUCCCACCAAUCUGGGUAACCGAUGACUUCAUAGCAUCGUCGCUUGCAAUGACCCAAGUCUCCACAAACCAGACACUUGACGUUUGCAUAAGGAUUCGGUUUUGCUGGGGAGCUACGUGGUGGAGCAUUUGAGAAGCCUGGAGGAAGACCCUGUUUGCAUUGGACAACCAAAACAGAAGACUCAGCAGCAUGUCCCAUAACUUGCCGAUCAGAAUGCACCUUUCGAACAUAGCCAUAACUUUGCUCCAAGGUGAAUUUUGGGUCUUUGCAAAGGAUCUCACCAUAGACUUCAUCAUACUCUGAAUCAAGCCCACUAAGGAACAUGUGAACUCGCAUACGCAUCAUAGCAGUCGUUUCUUGAAUAACUCCAGCUAUUGUGUUGUUUUGAGAGGCAAUACGUUGAUCGAUCUCAUGGAACAUUCCCACCAAUUCAUUAUAAUAGGUAGGAAGAGGCUGACCAUUCUGUCUCGUUGCAAAGCACUUCUUAUUCAAUUCAAAGAUUCGGGUCUCAUCAGAAUCAUCAUAAAAGGUCUUCUCAACUGCUUCCCAAACAUCUUUGGAUGUUGGUAGUCGGAUAUACCGAUUGAUGAGUGAUGGCUCCAUGGAAUCAAUGAGCCAACCUUUUACUCUCUCAUUCUUUGUGGCCCAAGUUUCAAAUUCAGGCGAAUUCUCAUCUGGUGCGACUUUGGCUCCGGUGAGAUAACCAACCUUACCGCGUGCUCCAAUCCUCAUCUUCAUAAGAGGUGCCCAUAUUGAAUAAUCGGUUUCAUUCAAGGCAACACUGGUCGGAAAGGCCGAGUUGUCUUGAGUGGUGGUAUGAUAAUGGUUGACGACUGGAGGCAUGAGUGCAAAGGGGUUUUCAGGUCUGAUGAUUUGAUCUCCCAUUGAAACUAAAAAAGGUUUGUUUUUGUUUGUACGCAGCGGAUUUUGUUUUUGGUGUUAUGAAAUUCAGGUUUCGGGUUUCAGAAGAUACAAGUUUGACUGGCUCUGAUGCCAAGUAGAAAAUAAGGAUUCAAUAUGAUUUGGAAUGUUUCAAUGUAUAUUCUUCUCCAUAUUAGAGGUUUAUAUAGAGAUACAACUGUAAUGCUAAUAGGAAAGAUAUCUCAUACAUCUAUACAAAAAUAUUUAACCUACACAUACAAGGAAAGUAAAUAUUUACAAAUAUUCUACAGUUAUUACCGAGGUCAUUAUACUAAAACAGAAAAUGAAUCGUCACAUUGACAUAGAACAAUUAGUUAGUUGCUUAAUUAAAAUUAUCGAUGAAAAUAAAAGUUGCACUACGUAGAUUGAUGCCCACCAAAUUAAACUUUUGGUUUUGAAUUACUCAUAUUCUCAUAUAAUAUCUUCGUCAAUCAUAUUAAUUGAUGUGUGUGAUAUAAGAAAUUAAACCACUUAAAUGUCAAAUUCAAUCAGAUUACUGUUGAUAUAUAUAUAUAUAUAUGUACAGGGCCCUUCCAAUGAGGGAUCCCUAUUUUAAGCCAUUUAUAGGGAUAGGGCAUUACACCAACUUCCCGAUUAUAAUUUUACAUCUCCACCGUUCAUAUCUUAGGUCUAUAUGAGUAGAUCACCUCUAUAAAAUUUCAUAUGAUUUGGUGAUCGUUAAGGCUUUCAAAAGUUCAAUUUAGUUUUAAUGACCUUCAACGGUUUUAGUUUGACAUAAGCUGAACCGUUCAAAAUCAUUAAAACUAAAUCAAACUUUUGAAAGUCUUAACGAUCACCAAAUCAUAUGAAAUUUUGUAGAGGUGAUCUACUCAUAUAGACCUAAGAUAUGAACGGUGGAGAUGUAAAAAUUCAAUUGGGAAGUGGUGUAAUGCCCUAUCCCUAGAAAGUGGUCAAAAAUAGGGAUCCCUCAAUGGAAGGGGGCUGUAUGUAUGUAUGUAUGCAUAUAUAUACAUAUAUAUAUAUAUAUGUACAGUUCAUUUCCAAAGCAAAGCUUCACUUUGAAAUUAAAGUGUGAAGUUCCUUAUUUGACUCACUUUUCAGUCAUAUUUCCACAUCUCCACCAUUCAGUUUGUAGAACUUAAUGCAUAGAUCACUUCUGCCAAGUUUUAUUGAAUUUGAUGAUCGUUUGGGUUUUCAUAAUUGUUAUUUACACAAACAGUUCUGAAUAGACAGAUUUAUGGUCCGUUCAUUGAUUUAAUCUAAUUCGGCACCUUAACGAUUACCAAUUUGGAUGAAACUUGGCAAGAGUGAUCUAUGCAUUAGGUUCUACAAACUGAAAGGUAGAGAUAUGGAAAUAUGACCGAAAAGUGAGUCAAAUAAGGAACUUCACACUUUAAUUUCAAAGUGAAGCUUCGCUCUGGAUAUGAACUGUAUAUAUGUAUAUACAUAUAUGUAUAUAUAUAUGUAUAUGUAUAUAUAUAUAUAUAUAUGUAUAUCAGGGCCCUUCCUUUAAGGGAUUUUUUUUUUUGUACAUAUAUGAGGGAUGAAGGAUUACACCUAUUUUUCAAUUAUAUUUUUGAAUCUCCACCGUUCAGCUUGUUAGUCCUUAUAUAUAGAUAAAUUCUGUAAAUUUUCAACCAAUUUGGUAAUCGUUAAGGUGUCGAAGAAGAUUAAAUCAAUAAACGAAUCAAAUCUGCUAAACCUGAACCGUUCAUGCUUAUCAUUAUAAAUCAUAGUUUUGAAUGUCUUAACGAUCACCAAAAUUUCUGAAAAUUUACAGAAAUGAUCUACUCAUAUAGAACUACAUAUUGAACGGUGUAGAUGUGAUUUGUGAUCGAAAAGUUGGUGUAAUCCCCCAUCUUUCAUAUAUGUCAAAAACAGUAUCCCUUAAUGGAAGAGUCAUGAUGAUAUAUAUAUAUAUAUAUAUAUAUAUAUAUGAUNNNNNNNNNNNNNNNNNNNNNNNNNNNNNNNNNNNNNNNNNNNNNNNNNNNNNNNNNNNNNNNNNNNNNNNNNNNNNNNNNNNNNNNNNNNNNNNNNNNNNNNNNNNNNNNNNNNNNNNNNNNNNNNNNNNNNNNNNNNNNNNNNNNNNNNNNNNNNNNNNNNNNNNNNNNNNNNNNNNNNNNNNNNNNNNNNNNNNNNNNNNNNNNNNNNNNNNNNNNNNNNNNNNNNNNNNNNNNNNNNNNNNNNNNNNNNNNNNNNNNNNNNNNNNNNNNNNNNNNNNNNNNNNNNNNNNNNNNNNNNNNNNNNNNNNNNNNNNNNNNNNNNNNNNNNNNNNNNNNNNNNNNNNNNNNNNNNNNNNNNNNNNNNNNNNNNNNNNNNNNNNNNNNNNNNNNNNNNNNNNNNNNNNNNNNNNNNNNNNNNNNNNNNNNNNNNNNNNNNNNNNNNNNNNNNNNNNNNNNNNNNNNNNNNNNNNNNNNNNNNNNNNNNNNNNNNNNNNNNNNNNNNNNNNNNNNNNNNNNNNNNNAUAUCGAAGAUAUAUCAUAAAUAUCCUAAAUAUCGAAGAUAUUUCCUAAUAUCAGAGAAAUAUCAGAGAUAUUUGACAGUAUCGGAGAAAUAUCGGAGAUACGGUGGAAGAUAAGAUAUUUACCCCUCUAAAUAUAUCGGUCCUUAAAAAAAAAGAUAUCGGAUAUAUCGUAGAGAUUUUAAUCUUUGGUAUUACGAAAUCCUCACCCAACAGGUAUGGUUGGGGCAUAUUGGUUUCAUUACCACAACCAAAGUUCAAUUCAUGUUGGAGGCAUAGUUUGCCUUUUUCUACGAUUUUUGAACCAAUUUGGGCCAAAGUUGGUACUUGGGCUGCGUGAUAAUUGUCAUUGAAACUAAUUUGGGCCAAUGUUGUUGGUACUUGGGCUACGUGAUAAUUGUCAUUGAAACCAAUUUGGGCCAAUGUUGGUACUUGGGCUGUGAAAUUUCCUCAUAUUUCGCCAAAGUAUCGCAAAUUUCACGAAAUAUUGCGAUAUAUCUAAAAUAUCGCACGAAACUUAGAAGGUAUGUGAAGAUAUUAUCGCUAAGCGAGAAAAACAAAAAUUUCACCGAAAUAUAGGUGAAAUUCUCGAUUUUUCACUCCUUGGCCGCAUCAGUCAUGUGACACAAACGCCUGCGUGGCUCUGUAUCUUUGCGUGUGUGCUACUCUGAUAAGGAGAUUAAUUGGACUGGCGAUUGAGCUUUAGAACUGUGACAGUAGUCAUAGUAGUAUGGACUUUUCUACUAUAUAUCCGACGAUUCACGACUUGAUGUAUGUUAUACAGUAUAUACAUAUGUAUAUACAGCAGCCAAACCUAUGAUAUAUUAACCAUUUUGACAUUAGAGUAUGUAUGUAGAAACUAUUUUUCUUUUUUGGUGUGAUGUUUACAAAUAAAUAUAAAUUUAAACUAUUAAGGAAGACUUGAAGAAAGGUUUGGUGGAACCAGUGGCUUAAGCCUUGAUACCAAUUAAGAGUUUAUUAAAUUAAACCUAUCAAACUGAUUUCAAUUCGAUGAUAAUAUAUAUGGUACAAAAGUAUAAUCUUGUUUACAAUGGAUAACGUAAACUUAAUUGUAUCACAUUCACUUAUUUCCGACUCAUUGGAACCAUUGCCAUUUCAUAGUUCCUCCCAUGCAUCUAUAUUUCCACGCCCGUAUAUUACAUCAAAUAAAUUCACAACUUCAACUCCAAAAGAAAAAACCAAGUACAGAUCGAUAGUCCCAGCAUAAAUCUUCUUAUUCUCAUUUAUUUCGACUCAUGCCUCCCUCCACCAUGGGGGGCACCGAGCCCAUUGCCACUUGGUGGUUCCUUGCAUCCAUAUUUCCAUGCCAUCCUGAAACAAUUCAUUCAAGAAUUAGAACAUUUAGACCAUUAACGCUAAUUAAUCUAAGAGUCAAUGAUAGAUCGAAAAACAUUGUAAUAUAGAAUUCAAAUUCAUAUAUGGAUCUACUUUUCUUAGUUUCUUUACUACUUUUUAAUUUUCUUGCAUGUACACCUCUCUAAUUAUUAUAUAAACUCUAGAUUUUCUAAGUCGUCCAUUUUAUUUGACAAUUAGAUAGAUAUAUGGUUGAACUUGAACACCAUGCAUAUGUUUUGAUCGAUUUUUUUACUCUCUUCUUUUAUGUUGUGUGAGAAUACGUCGGUAACAACGUACGUGGUAAUUAGCAGUGAACUAACAUUAUCAACUAGAAAAUCAAUGUAAAAGUUCUCAUUAGAAUGAAAAUGACCAAGUUAAGAAUUUGGAAAGAGAUUUACAAAACGACGUACCAAUGGACAUGUUGAAACCGCGACUUUCGAGCUCACGAUACUCCUGGCACAAGGCGCAGGCCUCGCAGAAGCAGUGAACCAAACAAUCACCACAAGGGCUCUCUUCCAAAGAAUACUGCUGCCUCAUUUUCGAGCGGUAGAAGCAAGAAUAGAUGCAAGAACAACCAGUCACAAAAGCUAUCAACGCAUACAAUGCUCCACUUGCACCACAAGCUACAUUUGUAGAACACGAUUAGAUCUCAAUGAUAUCUGUCUAGCAAGUAAGGGAAAACAAAAAGAUACAGAAGGAUCAGAGGAAGCUGGUGCUUACAUGUAGAGCCUUUAUCCACAAUCUCAGCAAUCUGGCCAAAGGUGACGCAAGGACACCAAAAUGUUAGGCAGCCUGUGCAUUACAUACACGAAAAAUUAGUUUCGAGCAAAUUAAUUACAAAGAUGGAUUGGAGUAGGUUGUGAGGUAUAAUUACAGCUUUUGGGAUCGGAGAAGCAGUCAAGGAGGCCAGAUUUCCAAGGCUCGGGGGCUCGAGCAUGGAGAUGAUGAUGAUAUGGAGGAGCAUCUGCUGGCAUGUGGGAGUUAUCAUGAGCAGGAUGACUAUAGUAGGGGUCGCUGGAGUUCACCGGAAUACCCGUUGCCGGAGCAUCGGAGAACUUCUCGUAAGAACUCGCCUUUGAUGAGGACAUGAUGAUGAGGAGAAGAUUUACAAGAUAAGAGAAAGGUUUGAAGCAGCCUGCUGUAUCUUCAACUCUUUGUAAAUAAAUGAGAUAGACGAAGAAGAAUUUAUAGUCGUAUGAAGCACGACCAAGUUGGCCAACUACUUUAUCUUAUUCAAAUGGCUAAUGAUCGAAGUUUAGGUAAGGGGAGACUGCCGGCCACCUAUAGUUGACUACGCGCUUUAUGCCAUAUGAGAUGUGGGAAGAUUGUAGUUUACAUCAAGCCAUUACAUUAUUUGAAUACAAUAAAAUGGAGACAAGAAGUUAGAGAAAGGCUGAGAAAUAUGAAAUUGGGCGAUUCAAGAUAGGGAAAAAAGUUUGGAAUGGGUCUAUUCACGACCUCCCCAAGCAGCAAUUGAAGUUGGAAUUCAGAAACGAACGCAUAUUUCCAAUUUGUCACGUAAUAGAAAAGUGAACGUCCGAUUAUUUCAUAUAUUGUCAUUUUGUUAGAUUGUUAUUCGAUCACCGUAUAGAAUCAUUUUAUUAUCUCAUACGUUAACAUUUUUGUAGAAUUUUUAAUUCACCAAUAAAAACUAUUUCAUCACAGAUAUAUAACUAUCAUAACAAAAUAAUAGUUCGACGUUAGUUGUCCAAAGCUUGAAAGAUAUUACCUCUUGUUUACCAUGGAUAAUGUAUACCACAUUCAUUCAUUUAUAUCCGACUCAUGCCUCCCUCCACCGUUGGGGGGGCUGGAGCCAUUGCCAUAUCAUAGUUCCUCCCAUCCGUAUUUCCUUGCCAUCCUGAAAAAGACAUCGACUUAAAAAAAUCAAAGCACUUCAUUAGCUUAGUUAUACGGUAAGGAGCAAAGGGUUACAAAAUGACGUACCGAUGGCCAUGUUGAAACCGCGACUUUGGAGUUCACGGUACUCCUGGCACAAGGCGCAGGACUCGCAGAAGAAAUGAACAAAACAAUCAUAACAAGGUUUCUCCUCCAAAUAAUACUGGUGCCUCAGUUUGGAACGAUACAAGCAGGAAUAGAUGCAAGCACAACCAGUCAAACAAUAUAUCGCCGUGUAAAUUACUCCACUUACCGCGCAAGCUACGUAAAACAUAUAUACAUGUCCCCAAAAUCAAAUCUUUAUUCAUUGUGUAAGAAAAGCCAUGCAUGUAUGCAAGAAACUUUGAAAGAAGAUCAAUUUUUACGUGCUUACAUAUAGAGCCUUUAUCUACGAUCUCAGCAAUCUGGCCAAAAGUAAUGCAUGGACAGAAGAAUGUUAAGCAGCCUGUACAAAUGCAUACAAGGAAUUAGUGUCAUAUCGGAGAAUUCGAAGCAGGAGAUCGAAGGGAGCAGGAGAUUUAGAGUUACAGCUGUUCAUAUCGGAGAAGCAGCCACAGAUGCCGGAUUUCCAGGGCUCGGGGAUCGGAGGAGGGAAAUGAUGAUACGGCGGAGCAGCGAGCAUAGAGAUGCAAUUGUCAUGAUAUUGAGCAGGAUGGGGGUUGCUGGACACCGUAUGAAUUCCCGUAGCCGAAUUACGAACACCCUCGAACAGCUUCUCGUGAGAUUUCGGAUUUGAUGAGGACAUGACGAAAGAUUACGGCUCAAAUUGAAUCGACUCCCGGUGGAAACAAGCAUGUGAAUCCUAUGAAGUAUGUCACCUGCACCAUUUCUGUGCGUUGCUGAAUGUAGCGGUCUAGCUCAAGGAUGGUCUUUUCUCAAAGGCUAUCCAGUAUAACUGCUUUGAAAUUCUUAUAGAAGGUGACUCCAAGCUGGUUAUUGAUUGGUUUAACAAGACUUGCAAACCUUCAACAAGACUUGCGAAAUUUCUAAUCAGGGAUAUCCACAUCAUUGCUAAUCUUUUUGAACAAAUCUCCGACCGGCAUGUCCUUAGGGAUGUGAACUUUGUGGUUGAUGCGGUGACCUCGCUAGGACACUCCUCUCAUGCACACACAUGUUAGGAAAAUAGACUCCCUCUCUCGGUUAUUUCUGCUUUCAAUCUACAUCAGUUCAAUUUUGGUAUUUGGUUCUCGAAAGACCAAGUAAAUUGUUUGAUCAAACAAGGAGACUAAAUUCCACAUCUAGGCUUGGCCCAUUUUCUUUCUUCAUUGAUAGAAAUUAUGUUACAACCAGAACCUUUCAAAAGCAACAACAGUAGGGCUUUUGAGACUAAAUUCCAUAACUAAGCUUGGGCCAUUUUCUUUCUUAACAAUUAGAAAUUUAGAACUUUCCAUAGUAACAACAAUUGGUAGAGUGGGGGAUUGGUGGGUGACUAUUGGCGCACCACUACAAAUUCUCAUUCACUGUUUACACUUUGAGAAUCAGUAAUGGGCUGCAAAAUACGAAAGUAGGCCCACAAGCGGCGCAUUUAUGUACGUCGUGGGCUCAGACUCUUGAAAGUAAGGCCUCGAGUCUGGAAAUGCAUCCGAGCUAUUGGGUCCGCCGACAACCGCCCCAACUAGUUUAUUCGGGUUUGGAUUUGGACUCAUAAAAUAGCGAGAACCGGCUUUGCAUCCGAUACGGGCCGGAUGGGCCUGCACCGAUGGAAGUGAGCUGCCCCUGUGGUGAAUCCUCUGCGGGUAACGCGGCCCAUAUCCAACCAUGUAAGACAUUCUUAAUGGAUUGUCACCCAAAAUGUAAUCCACCUGCGCACAAGUUCAAAAAUUACAAUACUUUCCUGAUACUUGAACAUAAUUUCAUAACCACCCCUGUCCUUGGAUGCUUGAGCAUAUAGGUCCUUCAAUAGUGUGGACAAUCUUCACAGAUUUUGUGUGUGUGCAAAAGUACAAUGUGGCAGUGAGUUAAGGUAAGGUGAGACAAGGAAAAAAUCUAGCCGUUAAUUUGUCUGAUGGAGAAGUGGUCCAUGAUUGCAUGAAUUAAUGAGAACCAGGGAAUAGUAGCCUUAGCACUAUCUAGUCUUUGUAGGGUUUCAUUGGAUGUUGGUGGGUUAUAAUAAAGUUACCUGGCGUUUAGCCAAUUGUUUGAGGAAGGCCGGGGAGGCGGAGGUCAUGCCACACGGCACGUUCUUAUUGGCGUGGCUUAGAUAGUUGGAAUAAGUCAAAAGUAGGAACGAGAGCGAAGUUACAUGCUGCAUGUUACUCCCUCCAGGCUUGAAGAUCAAACCACCUUCAAAUCAAAGAACCCUAAUUAUUAAUCAGAAAAAUUAUACAGCAAGUAAAGCAAACCCUGAUUCUUAUUUUUCUUGUUUUGAGAAAGAAGCAAACCCUAAUUCUAAUUCUGUAUUUUAGAAAAUAAGGGGAAAAAAAAAGCUGAAAAUAUACCUGGAGAAUAUUGGACUUGGGUAUGGGCAAGUCCAGGCAAAACAGAGCAUAUAAAUCCAUCUGCAUUUUGCUUGAAAGAUUCGAAAUAAUCUGCUUUUCCCAUAAGCACUUCCUGCCAAACAAUAUUUAUAAAACCCAGAAAAAUAUGUAUCAGUACAUUACCCAAUGAAAUUCAUAUUCAUGAAUCAAGAUAUUCUUAUUUUUUAUAACUCAAUAAUGUUCUUACACCAGUUCAGGAAUUUCAGAUAUAUAAACAAGAUAUUGCGGAAUAUUGAAACGUCGUCGUCGUGGUAGUGAAAAGCCCUUAACAAGGGGAUCACACUCAGUUUGGGAAAAGCUUUCUUUUUGAAGAAAGAAUGGGGUAGAGAGAGUGAAUGAGUAUAUAAGGUAUGGGAGACGAACCCCAUCGUCGUUCCCAGACUUUAAGCACAUGCAGGUAGCAGUGACUCUCACUUAUUUUAAGGACCCACGAGAGAACCAGACCUAAAGAUGGAGCUCGAGACCUGGAGCAACACUCUGCUUUUUCUGAUUGAAACGACAACACAAAGCCAAAAUCCAUGGACAAUCCAGAAAGCCUGAUUCUAAGGCCAAUCCGGUUCUAACAAGAUACCUUUAACCAAUUUUACGAACAGAAACUAGUGAAGUUUUACUUCAACAAAGUUACACGAAACACAUUCUUGAAUCUCGGAUUAUCACAAGAGCCUUAACCAAACUUUUAACCAAGUAUAUGAACAUGAUCAGUGAAGUUUUACCUCAACAAAGUUACACGAAAUACAUUCCUAAAUCUCGGUUCACGAACAUGUUGAAUCACCAAGAUUCAUGAACCGUUUCCAUCAAUUUUGUAGACUAUAUUAUCAUCAUUUUUGAGCUUUACACCACCUAGCUAAUCCUGACCAUCUUUUUCCUUUGUUUAUUUAAACUUAGCACACAUCUCAGAUAUUAUUCCCAUUGAUCUUGGAUGUACGGACAGACACAACUAUGAUGUACACCACAGUUGAAAACAAAUCAUUAAGCAUCUCUAUUCUCUAAUCUAAUAUCAAGUUGGGUCCAAAAUACUAUACUAUAUGGUGCACCCUAUGCAAAGAAAAUCAUACAAAAGUGUCACGGCCAUUGCCAAAAAUGAACAUUCGGAUAGCAUGUCUACUCGUAUUAUAUAUUCACGUGAAGCCCAAAACAUAACAAAGUUAUAAGAUCUAGCUAAAUACGAUUAGUAAAUAACAGUUGUCACAUUCCAAACAAAAACAUAAGGACAAAAAGAACCAAGAACCCGAAUCGAGACAAUGAUUAAGAGUGGAUUAUAUUAACAAACUAAGGUAGGGAUUAGCUUAAUUACCUUAGAAAUGAGAAUAUUAAUCCCAGCAUGCUUGUUAUCCCAACCAAACUCGUUAAUGGUAUCUCCAGCUCUCAAAACGACCUCGUUUCUCACUAUGUAUUCUCUGUACUGCCGCCUCCUCGACGCCUUGUGCAACCACGCUGCUCCCCACAAUAACUCAUCCUGCACAUACACGCAUGUUAAAUUAACCCUAAAACAAAUCCAACGGCCAGGAGUUAAUAUCAGAACUGUACGUGAGUACUAACCUGGAAGCCGUUGACGUCGCAGUAAAAAGGGCACACGGCGUUUUUGAGGCUGGAGCUGUACGCGCCGCGGUGGGUAUCAGCGAACUCGAAAACCUAGGGGGACAGUAUCAACGGUCAGUUUCACUAUUUACCCAACCGAGGUUAAAAAAAAUUAAAGCCAUUGAAUCAGUGUGACAGUGACAUACCCUAACGGCUCGAUUGAGAAGCAGUCUCGAGUAAGCGGGGUCACGUGACCUGAAAACGAUGGAGGCAGCGGCGAGCGCGGCGGCGGUUUCGCCUGCCACGUCGGAUCCCGGGUUGUUGUGGUCGAUUUUGUACACCGUGCGGCGUGUGUCCAUGUCUUCGGGCCUCUCCCAGCAGUUAUGGUCGGAGUAAGGGUCGCCGACUUGGACGAAGACGACGCCGGGAACCGCCGUCGCCUUCAGAAGGUAGUCUGUCCCCCACCGUAAGGCCUUGACGGCGUUCCUCUGCUCCGUCCCCAUGACCCGCCCGAAGUCUAUAAUGCUCCACGCCAGCAGAGUGGUCGUGAACGCCAUCGGAAACCCGAACUUCACGUUGUCGCCGGCGUCGUAGUAGCCCCCGGUUAAGUCUACCUGAAAAACAAACAAAAUGUGAGUCUAAAAUCUAAAAUAUUAGCAGUUUAACACACAACUUUUUGAGUACACAACCCUUUUUGAUGAAAGCAACUUUGAAUGUAUUAGAUGAGGGAGGGAGAGUAGCUUACGCCGGCGGUGGAGCCGUCGUGCAAUGCGGAGUCGCGGCGCCAUUUGAGGCGUUGAUCGGGCGGGAGCUUGCCGGAGCGCUGGCCUUCGAAGAAGAGGAUGCUCUUGCGGAGGGCGUCGUGGUAGUCGUGGCCGGCGCUGAUUGGCUGGAGAAGCAGGAGCAGCGAGAGGACGAGUGUUGCGCGAAAUGCGGGAACAUUUCCCGGUAAGCAAAGGCCAUUUCGCGCCAUUUUUUUUCUCUCGUUUUUGCCGGUGAAGGAUAGAGCAAAGCAGUGACCAGCCUCGGGGGUUCUUUAUAAGAAAAAAAUUUUAAAAAAGACGUCAUUGGAUUCCAGAGCCACAUCCAAUGAGGGAGAAACACGUGGCUGAUGCGACUGGAUUAUGCUCGGAUUCCAAUGCGGUCGUUCUGGGCCGGGGUUGGGGAAAACGGUGUUGGAAUGUGUUUGGUAUGAUUAUAAUCACCGGAAAAUUUAUGAUCGACGGUGGAUUAGAGGUGGGGGGAUGGUCCAUUCACGAGUUGAUGGGCUACACGUGGAAGAUGUGAUGGGCUUGGGGGCCCAGAAAGAGUCACAUGAGAGGAAUUGUAUAUCGGUACAUUCCGAUUUCCGAUGGAUUAUAUGGGAGAAGGGAAAGGAAUGCUUUUCUGGGAGGGUCAGAGAUAUGUUGACCGGUGAAAUGGUGUAAAUGGGAACAAGGGAAUGGGAUUGAGGCUGAGGCAUGCAUGUGAGUCUCUAGUAGUAGUUGCAGGAAAUUAAAAGGUAGGUUUUUUGGUACUAAGGAUGUAUGAGACUAUGUGUGGUCCAAAUGGGUAAAGGCACCUAUGGGAAAUAAAUAUGGUGCCCCCAGAAUUCUGGGAUUAGUAAAACUGUGGAGUAAAGGAACAUAUUGUUUGGGUAAAUCCUUAGCGCGAGAAGAAGACAGUUGGUACGAUUUUCUGGGCCUUGGAUUUUGUCCGACGUGAAAUGGCAAGUCAUUAUGUGUGCUAGACUGCUAGUGCAAGAGAUUUGUAUGACUGAUCUAUUCAUAUAAACCUAAAAAUGAAUAGACGAGAUGUUAAUAUGUGAUAGAAAAAUAGGUAUUUUAAACCAUAAACCAAUAAAUUAUCAAUUAAUCCUUAACUUAAAGAUUCUCACUAAAAAUGCUCCUACUGCAAUAGUAUUAGUAAAUAUGUCAACUCAGAGGCUUUAUUGGGUUAACUUUGCAGAAUGAGGUAGAAUCCAAAUGGGUAAAUUAGAAGUUUGCUGCCUAAGGGAAGGAGGGAAGGGAACCGAAAAGAAAGAUAUAAUUAUAGUCUGCAUAGAAAUUAGAACAGGCAACAAACUGGGAAUAGGUAAGACUGGCGUCAACAAAUUAGCCAAAUUGGGCUUCAAUGCAGAUAGUAGUGAGUUGAAUAAAUGCAGCCCAUGUUAAAAACAAGCAAAGGUCACAGACAAUGUCAGUGUCUCAUAAAUAGUGUGAAAGAAAAAUUUUGACAAGACAUCUGAGAUUCUGAGGUGUCAUAAUUGAGCUCUAUUAGGCUUAACCCAACAAAACCAACUUCAUGUCUUCACUGUUGGCCCAAACACACCUCUGGCCUAACAGAUCCUUGACCAAUAGACUAGGCUAUCAGCAGUCCUAUAGAGAAAAGGAAAGGGAAACUCAGAAACCCACAGCUCAAGUUUAAUAGUAACUUCGUUCUUAAAGGCAUACCUACACACGGGCUACAGUGAGUUAUAGCUCAUCCCAAAUUUUAAGAAAACAUUGUUUUGUUGUAUAUUUAUAAUUAAAAAAAUUUGAAUUAUGAAAACCAACCCACCCCAAAUUUCUUUAUGUAAUUGAACUUAGUUCAUAUGAUUUUUUUUUAUCUGAUUACAUAUAUAUUGUUUAUUUUAUUAAAAGCAGUUGCUCAUUUAGUAUAUUUUAGGUCAACUUUCUUCUCUUUAUUUCUUUUUCUUUGUCGUUAUAUACAUCUACAUUCUCUUCUGCCAAAGCAACUAAGCCAAGUGCUAAGUUUUCUCUCUUUAAUCUGUAAGUAUGAUUCUUAGUUAUAUCGGUCAUUCUCUUAUCCUCUUGGAGGGUCUUGUACGUGUCAUAUGACCUAGUUCUCAAAUCUCAAUUGAUUAAUGCCUUGAUAGUCUCAAUAUCCCAUCAUCCCAUCGCACUGUAUUUCUAUUGAUAUUUUAAUUAUAAUCUCAAUUGUUUGCUUGCUAAUUCUAAGCCACGUGCCAAGCUUUCUCUCUUUAAUUUGUCAGUAUGAUUCUUAGUUAUAUCGGUCAUCCUCUUGGAGUCUUGUAUGUGUCAUAUGACCUAGUUCUCAAAUCUCAAUUGAUUAAUGUCUUGAUCAAAUUUAGUCCCAAAUAUCCCAUCAUCUCAAAUCUCAAUUGAUUAAUGCUUUGAUAGUCUCAAUAUCUCAUCAUCCCGUCACACUGUAUUUAUAUUGAUAUUCUAAUUCUAAUCUUAAUUGUUUGCUUACUUUAUUAUAGAUGACUAAUGCUAAUGAUGUGUGUGUGUAUAUAUAUAUAUAUAUAGAUAUACAGUUGUAAUAGUACCAACGUUUAAUUCAUAGUUAUUAGAUUGUGUUUUUCCGUCCUGUUAGGUUUAAGAAUUAUACACUCGUUUACUGUAUUGUUAGAGCGGUGAUUGUGUGCUUAGUUAUUAGAUUUUGCUUCUAUUCAAGAGCGUAGGGUUCAAUUUGAGUAUGUAUGUUCUUUUAUAUUUAGCUUUUGUUAUCGAAUUUCUAUAAAAUGUUAUAAUAUUGAUUUUUUAAUGAUCAGUUAACUACGUGAUUAUUUAAUAUAUAUUUUUAAUCUAAAAUGUGAUAUGUAAAAUAUAGAAGAAGAAAAAAUUAAAAAAUUAAAGAAAAAAAUUUCAGCCCACUCCAAUCUAAAAUCCUAGGUCCGCCAUUGUUCGUUCUAGUUUCUAGUCGCAAUAGUUCUAUCUGAUGAAGCGAUAUGGCUCAGUUCAUAUACAAGGGUGUCUUCCAUAUAUAGUUGCUUCGAGUUUUGUCUGUGUGCAUCCAAACUCGAGCUUAAAUCAAGACGAAAACAGUACCCUAAACCCUAUCGUUGCUUGGAUCUGAGGUUACAACUUUGAAAACGAUAUAUGAUGAGGACUAGAGCUUUCACAUGCAUACAUAAUGUUCCCGAAAUCAUUCCUGAUGUCAAGGCACUACUAAAACACAUCACUAAUUACUUCAAACAUGCUAGCUUGCUAGCUCCAAAUCAGAUCAUAGUACAUGAUUUAUAAUAUUCCAGCUGCUUGUAAUUCAAUAAUCAAAUUCGAUACCAAAAAGAUGAAAAAAUACAAUGUUUGAGUAAGUUUGUUUUCCUAUUAUUUGCAGGCAUGAUGCUGCAUCCUGGAUUUGUUCUAGGUUUUCAAGUCCUUCAAUUGAGUACAAUCUGGAUAAUGACUUGGUAUCUUUAGCCAUAUGUUUGUUUACUCAGGAUGACGGGAAAUUAUUAUUUGUACCCGGAACACCACCUGUUUUAUGUUCCUAUUUAAUUUCAUUGGUCCACGUGUUUUGUCCUUAUUUCUGAUUGGUGUAUUUAAUUACUUUUCCUUUUUUUUUCCACCCUGUGCUGGUCCCCACAUGAAUCUGAGUUAUAUGAUUGGCCGGGUACAACACCUGGCAGUGCCACAUAGUGUUCCGGGUACAGAGAAUAAUUACUCAUGACAAACUCUCCAUAUUUAACGCAGCUGAAUUAGGGCUAAUGAUGGUUGGGGUAGGGCCAUUUCUGCAUAAUAACCUAUCUGAGAGAAAGCGGAAGACAGUCUUUCUGGAUGGAAUCAUCGUUUUAAAUUUCUGGUUCAAAACUUAAUUUGAGAACAAAAUCUACGGAUUUUCCAUGAUGAGCAUGUUUCCCCUUUUGAAAAUAACAUCAACUUAAUUUAAACCUAGAAAAUCUGCCCGGCCCCGUCUAGCUAACUCAUUUCGAACUUUUUACACGAGCUGAAGUGGUUGGGGGUUUAGUUUUGCCUCCUAGUUUUACUUGGCUUCGAGUCAAUUACGGCGAUGAGCUCGUGAUUCAAUCAUAUCUACUCCCAACAGCUUUGCAAUUAGUUAGGGCUAAGGGAUAACAGAAAAACCGGGGCAUGAUCCUCUGCUAACUUUAGGCCUUGAUUCUUAUGUUUUCUGCGCAAAUAUAUAUGGUUUUAAAGUUGGGUUUUUAUCAUAGAUAGUUUAUGGUUAAUUGGUUAUGGUUGCCGUAAAAACUACAAGUAAAAGAUCUAAUUUUCUAGAAGCACUUUAAGUUUUGGACCAAUGUCGACAUACAUACAUGAGAUAUAGUGAUGGUGGAGACUAAGAGGUUAGCUAUUUUGGUUUUGCUUAUACUG